rnacentral:rRNA from 1 species
GUGUCAGCAGCCGCGGUAAGACGAAGGUGGCUAGCGUUGCUCGGAAUUACUGGGCAUAAAGCGCGCGUAGGUGGUCCUGUAAGCGGGGGAUGAAAGCCCAUGGCUCACCCAUGGAACUGUCCUUCGGACUGCAGGGCUGGAGGGCGGGAGGGGAGAAUGGAAUUCCCGGUGUAGCGGUGAAAUGCGUAGAUAUCGGGAGGAACGCCGGUGGCGAAAGCGAUUCUCUGGCCCGUUCCUGACACUGAUGCGCGAGAGCUAGGGGAGCAAACAGGAUUAGAUACCCCUGUAGUCC